rnacentral:misc_RNA from 1 species
GAACAAUACAUCAAAACACCAGAACACCAGAACAACCAGCAAUACACCAACACACAAAUCUAAAGAAAUAAAGGACUGCUCAAAUUCAGAACAGAGAAAAGUAAAACUGAAGACCAAAAACAGAGCAGCGGAUGAAGAGAACAGCAUCAAAGCCAAACCAAGCUCCAAUGAUUAAUCCAACUAAUUAAUAAUGGCGUUUAAGCCAAGAAAAGUCAAGUAGUGAGGUUGCAUAGCGUAUUGUGUAAUUGUGAUGUGAUAAAAGUGAAAGAGAAACGAAAAAAAAGGGUUGGUAAAGAAUAAAUGAGGCAACUUCCAGUUUCAUGUGGACUAAUAUUUGACUAUUCGUUGCACAAAAUAAUUAAUUUACCAAAAAAAUCCUCUUUUUUCCUGACUAAUAAUUCUUGGCCGAUCAAACUUUAACCAAUUUCCGAUGUAUUAGAGCUUCAGAUUGAUUCUAUAACAGAAGUUGGGAUUGCAUGAUAACUCCUGGGAAUUAAUUCUUCAACAUGACAACAGACCCUGCAUCUAGCUGAACUUUCGUUUCUACAAUUUCCAGUGGUCUUUGUUUAUAUAUAAGAUAUGAAAUUCAUCAGGCAAAGAAACUUACAAGGUCAAUCCUGAAAAAGAAGGCACCAAAAAGGAGGACUAUGAAGGAAAGGAAGACAGCGGCUGAAGCCCAUCUCUUCACAGCUCGAGAAGCAGUGGAAAAAUGAGUUUGAACUUGAUUUCCUUGCAAGGAGAAGGAGUUUACUUGAUCUGCCAUUGACAUUUAGAAAUAAUAAGAGAAGAUUGGCUUCACCUUUUGUGUAAGGCGAUGGGGUUUAUGGGUUUGAGGAGUAUCACAAUUUUU